rnacentral:ncRNA from 1 species
ACUAUUUUGCCGCCGGGUAAACGCUUGUUUUCGCUCCAUUAGGCCAUAGAAGGAGUGGAAAAUGAGUGUUUUUUUUA